AAAAAGCAUCGCCAGACGUUCCAUAGGAGAUGUUUUUCUUUCUGUCUGAAGUAGUGCUAUGAAACAAAGACAUGGACUACAUAUAUUUUACACAGGUCCCAGUUGCAGCAAGCAGAUGUACAAAUCUACACAGAAUCCGUGUUCACUAACGAGAGACAGCAGACCAACAUACACACUUUUUUCAGACAGCACACCAUCAUGGUCCACGAGGCCUUUCUCCCUGAUCUAAAAAAAGGCUCCGGACAUCUUAUUAUCAUCAUUACUCGUGUGACGCCACCGCGG
rnacentral:lncRNA from 1 species